CGCGCCUCAAGUCACGUGACCGUGGGCAACCCCACCCUACAGCCACUUGCCCCGCCCCCUCCAACCACGUGACCCUGCGCACGCCCCCAUCCAGCCCCGUAACCGCGCGCCGCCCGGACCGGAAGGAAGGGUGGGGCCGCCUGGGACGCCACCGCCCGCCCAGCCCGGGGAUCGCCCACCACGGGGGACCGAGUUAGGGACGGGCACGAGGCUUAGAGAGCGAGCGAGAGCCUGUGUGCCUCGACAAGUUAAAAUGAGGCGGUUUAAACCAGAAGCGUCUAGGGGCCCGUAGGAGGAAGCCGCAGGCGAGCGGAAGAUAUUUAUUUACUUGACAGAAGGGCAAGAGAGCAAGCGAGGAAGAACCACCCCAUGACCGUGACCUGAGCCAAAGGCAUACAGUGAGAGAGAGAGAGGCAGAGACACAGGCAGAGGGAGAAGCAGGCUCCAUGCACCGGGAGCCCGACGUGGGACUCGACCCCGAGUCUCCAGGAUCGCGCCCUGGGCCAAAGGCAAGUGCCAAACCGCUGCGCCACCCAGGGAUCCCGGAGUCAAACAAUUAAAAGUGUUUUGUGACUGGCUUCUUUCACCUAGCAUUAUGUUUUCAAGGUUUACCUAUGCCAGAGCAUGUAUUAAUACUUCCUUUUUUUUUUUUUUUUUUUUUUAAGAUUUCAUUUAUUCUUGAGAGACAAAGAGGCAGAGACACAGGCAGAAGGAGAAGUAGGCUCCAUUCAGGGAGCCCGAUGUGGGAAUCGAUCCUGGGCCUUGGGGAUCACGACCUGAGCCACAGGCAGAUACUCAACUGCUAACCCACCCAGGCGUCGCAAUACUUCAUUCUUUUUAUGGCCAAAUAAUAUUCCAUUUUAUGGAUAUACCACUUUUAUUGGCCAUUCAUCAGUUGAUGGACAUUGAAUUUUUUUUCCAGUUUAUGGCUAUUAUGAAUCACGCUGCUGUGAACAUUCAUCAACACGUUUUUGUGUGGGGCCCUUUGGGAGGCUCAGUGGUUGAGCAUCUGCCUUUGACUCAGAGUGUGACCUCGGGGUCCUGGGAUGAGUCCUGCAUCUGGCUCCCUGCAGGGAGCCUGCUUCUCCCUCUGCCUGUGUCUCUGC